GUCUACCAUCACACCACCCAAAUCGUAGAUCUUGGACCUGGGAAGCCAAGCGGGGUCUGGUCUGGUUAGUAUUUGGAUGGAAGAUCGCCUGAGAAUACCGGGUGCUGUAAGCU
rnacentral:rRNA from 1 species